rnacentral:rRNA from 1 species
UAAGGAAUAUUGGUCAAUGGACGCAAGUCUGAACCAGCCAUGCCGCGUGAAGGAUUAAGGCCCUCUGGGUUGUAAACUUCUUUUAUAGGGGAAGAAAUGUGACGGUUCUCCGUCACUUGACGGUACCCUGGGAAUAAGCACCGGCUAACUCCGUGCCAGCAGCCGCGGUAAUACGGAGGGUGCAAGCGUUAUCCGGAUUCACUGGGUUUAAAGGGUGCGUAGGUGGGCAGAUAAGUCAGUGGUGAAAUCUUCCGGCUUAACCGGGAAACUGCCGUCGAUACUAUGUGUCUUGAAUAUUGCGGAGGUAAGCGGAAUAUGUCAUGUAGCGGUGAAAUGCUUAGAUAUGACAUAGAACACCAAUUGCGAAGGCAGCUUACUACACAAUCAUUGACACUGAGGCACGAAAGCGUGGGUAGCGAACA